rnacentral:rRNA from 1 species
GGGAGCUUGCUCCCGGAUGUUAGCGGCGGAGGGGUGAGUAACACGGGGGUAACCUGCCUGUAAGACUGGGAUAACUCCGGGAAACCGGAGCUAAUACCGGAUAGUUCCUUGAACCGCAUGGUUCAAGGAUGAAAGACGGUUUCGGCUGUCACUUACAGAUGGACCCGCGGCGCAUUAGCUAGUUGGUGGGGUAAUGGCUCACCAAGGCGACGAUGCGUAGCCGACCUGAGAGGGUGAUCGGCCACACUGGGACUGAGACACGGCCCAGACUCCUACGGGAGGCAGCAGUAGGGAAUCUUCCGCAAUGGACGAAAGUCUGACGGAGCAACGCCGCGUGAGUGAUGAAGGUUUUCGGAUCGUAAAGCUCUGUUGUUAGGGAAGAACAAGUGCGAGAGUACCUGCUCGCACCUUGACGGUACCUAACCAAAAAGCCACGGCUAACUACGUGCCAGCAGCCGCGGUAAUACGUAGGUGGCGAGCGUUGUCCGGAAUUAUUGGGCGUAAAGGGCUCGCAGGCGGUUUCUUAAGUCUGAUGUGAAAGCCCCCGGCUCAACCGGGGAGGGUCAUUGGAAACUGGGAGACUUGAGUGCAGAAGAGGAGAGUGGAAUUCCACGUGUAGCGGUGAAAUGCGUAGAGAUGUGGAGGAACACCAGUGGCGAAGGCGACUCUCUGGUCUGUAACUGACGCUGAGGAGCGAAAGCGUGGGGAGCGAACAGGAUUAGAUACCCUGGUAGUCCACGCCGUAAACGAUGAGUGCUAAGUGUUAGGGGGUUUCCGCCCCUUAGUGCUGCAGCUAACGCAUUAAGCACUCCGCCUGGGGAGUACGGUCGCAAGACUGAAACUCAAAGGAAUUGACGGGGGCCCGCACAAGCGGUGGAGCAUGUGGUUUAAUUCGAAGCAACGCGAAGAACCUUACCAGGUCUUGACAUCCUCUGACAACCCUAGAGAUAGGGCUUUCCCUUCGGGGACAGAGUGACAGGUGGUGCAUGGUUGUCGUCAGCUCGUGUCGUGAGAUGUUGGGUUAAGUCCCGCAACGAGCGCAACCCUUGAUCUUAGUUGCCAGCAUUUAGUUGGGCACUCUAAGGUGACUGCCGGUGACAAACCGGAGGAAGGUGGGGAUGACGUCAAAUCAUCAUGCCCCUUAUGACCUGGGCUACACACGUGCUACAAUGGACAGAACAAAGGGCUGCGAGACCGCAAGGUUUAGCCAAUCCCAUAAAUCUGUUCUCAGUUCGGAUCGCAGUUUGCAACUCGACUGCGUGAAGCUGGAAUCGCUAGUAAUCGCGGAUCAUCAUGGCGCGGUGAAUACGUUCCCGGGCCUUGUACACCCCGCCCGUCCCACCCCGAGAGUUUGUAACACCCGAAG